GGUUUGAUCCUGGCUCAGAUUGAACGCUGGCGGGAUGCUUUACACAUGCAAGUCGAACGGCAGCACGGACUUCGGUCUGGUGGCGAGUGGCGAACGGGUGAGUAAUGUAUCGGAACGUGCCUAGUAGCGGGGGAUAACUACGCGAAAGCGUAGCUAAUACCGCAUACGCCCUUCGGGGAAAGCGGGGACCUUCGGGCCUCGCACUAUUAGAGCGGCCGAUAUCGGAUUAGCUAGUUGGUGGGGUAACGGCUCACCAAGGCGACGAUCCGUAGCCGGUUUUGAGAGGACGACCAGCCACACUGGGACUGAGACACGGCCCAGACUCCUACGGAGGCAGCAGUGGGAAUUUUGGACAAUGGGGGGAAGCCCUGAUCCAGCCAUCCCAAGCGUGUGCGAUGAAGGCCUUCUCGGGUUGUAAAGCACUUUUUGGCAGGAAAGAAACGGCACGGGACACCGUGCAACUGACGGUACCUGCAGAAUAAGCACCGCCAACUACGUGCCAGCAGCCGCGGUAAUACGUAGGUGCAAGCGUUAAUCGGAAUUACUGCUAAAGCGUGGGCAGGCGGUUCGGAAAGAAAGAUGUGAAAUCCCAGAGCUUAACUUUGGAACUGCAUUUUUAACUACCGAGCUAGAGUGUGUCAGGGAGGGAGGUGGAAUUCCGCGUGUAGCAGUGAAAUGCGUAGAUAUGCGGAGGAACACCGAUGGCGAAGGCAGCCUGGGAUAACACUGACGCUCAUGCACGCAAAAGCGUGGGGAGCAAACAGGAUUAGAUACCCUGGUAGUCCACGCCCUAAACGAUGUCAACUAGCUGUUGGGGCCUUUCGCCUUGUAGCGCAGCUAACGCGUGAAGUUGACCGCCUGGGGAGUACGGUCGCAAGAUUAAAACUCAAAGGAAUUGACGGGGACCCGCACAAGCGGUGACAUGGAUUAAUUCGAUGCAACGCGAAAACCUUACCUACCCUUGACAUGUCUGGAAUCCCGAAGAGAUUUGGGAGUGCUCGCAAGAGAACCGGAACACAGGUGCUGCAUGGUUGUCGUCAGCUCGUGUCGUGGGAUGUUGGGUUAAGUCCCGCAACGAGCGCAACCCUUUGUCAUUAGUUGCUACGAAAGGGCACUUCCCACGAGACUGCUGGUGACAAACCGGAGGAAGGUGGGGAUGAUGUCAAGUCCUCAUGGCCCUUAUGGUAGGGCUUCACACGUCAUACAAUGGUCGGGACAGAGGGUCGCCAACCCGCGAGGGGGGAGCCAAUCCCAGAAACCCGAUCGUAGUCCGGAUCGCAGUCUGCAACUCGACUGCGUGAAGUCGGAAUCGCUAGUAAUCGCGGAUCAGCAUGUCGCGGUGAAUACGUUCCCGGGUCUUGUACACACUCGCCCGUCACACCAUGGGAGUGUGGUUUUACCAGAAGUAGUUAGCCUAACCGUAAGGAGGGCGAUUACCACGGUAGGAUUCAUGACUGGGGUGAAGUCGUAACAAGGU
rnacentral:rRNA from 1 species